rnacentral:rRNA from 1 species
UAGGGAAUCUUCGGCAAUGGACGGAAGUCUGACCGAGCAACGCCGCGUGAGUGAAGAAGGUUUUCGGAUCGUAAAGCUCUGUUGUAAGAGAAGAACGAGUGUGAGAGUGGAAAGUUCACACUGUGACGGUAUCUUACCAGAAAGGGACGGCUAACUACGUGCCAGCAGCCGCGGUAAUACGUAGGUCCCGAGCGUUGUCCGGAUUUAUUGGGCGUAAAGCGAGCGCAGGCGGUUAGAUAAGUCUGAAGUUAAAGGCUGUGGCUUAACCAUAGUAGGCUUUGGAAACUGUUUAACUUGAGUGCAAGAGGGGAGAGUGGAAUUCCAUGUGUAGCGGUGAAAUGCGUAGAUAUAUGGAGGAACACCGGUGGCGAAAGCGGCUCUCUGGCUUGUAACUGACGCUGAGGCUCGAAAGCGUGGGGAGCAAACAGGAUUAGAUACCCUGGUAGUCCACGCUGUAAACGAUGAGUGCUAGGCGUUAGACCCUUUCCGGGGUUUAGUGCCGUAGCUAACGCAUUAAGCACUCCGCCUGGGGAGUACGACCGCAAGGUUG